GUACCUCUGGUGUACCAGUUGUUCUGCCAAGGGCAUGGCUGGGUAGCUAUGUACGGAAUGGAUAAGCGCUGAAAGCAUCUAAGCGCGAAGCCAACUUCAAGAUAAGAUUUCCCACCGUAAGGGUAAGAUCCCAGGAAGACUACCUGGUUGAUAGGUCGGAGGUGUAAGUGCAGCAAUGUAUGUAGCUUACCGAUACUAAUAGAUCGAGGACUUGACCAA
rnacentral:rRNA from 1 species